ACUGUAAUUGUUAAUAGUUACUGCUUCCAAACUAUUUAGAUAUACAGGUUGAACCAUGAAUUGAGUGAUUUUACAUUUGUCAAGGGUUAAUUUUGCAUUACUGAAGAAGUAGAAGUUUGAGAAAAUGAAAAUGAAAGUUCUCAUUUAGUCAACAUCCCCUAAGACUUGGAGUUCAGAGACUAUGACCAUCUCUCUCCUCUACCCGGAACCAUUCGUAGUGCUCACAUAAUGAACCAACAGGAGAAGCAUAAUACCCUGAUGUGCCAUCCCAUGUAAUUAUUCUAUAGAACUACUUAAUACAUUGCUUAGGUGUCAGGCCUGUGCCUCUCAGGUGGGACAGAUGAGUUUAGGACAUUGAUCCACCAGAAACCUCCCAGCUCCAUGUAAUAUCAAAUGGUGUAAGCUCACCCAGAGAUCUCCAUCUCAGUGCUAACACCCACCUCCAUUCAACAACCAGCAAGCUACUGUGCUGGACACCCUCUACCAAACAACUAGCAAGACAGGAACACAGCUACACCCAUUGGCAGAGAGGCUGCCUGGAAUCAUAAUAAGGUCACAGACACCCCAAAACACACCACUGGAUGCGGUCCUGCCCAACAGAAACACAAGAUACAACCUCAACCACCUGAACACAGGCACCAGUCCCCU